rnacentral:rRNA from 1 species
UACGUAGGGUCCGAGCGUUGUCCGGAAUCAUUGGCGUAAAGGAGCGUGUAGGCGGCUUGGUAGGUCACGUGAUUAAACGCCUGCGGCUGACAACCGCAGAAUCGCACGUGAAACCACCUGGGCUAGAGUCCGGAAGAGGAGAGCGGAAUUCCUGGUGUAGCGGUGAAAUGCGCAGAUAUCAGGAAGAACACCCGUGGCGAAGGCGGCUCUCUGGGACGGUACGUGACGCUGAAGACGGCGAAAGCGUGGGGAGCGAACAGG